rnacentral:rRNA from 1 species
CGAAGGGUUUAUAGUGAAUGACUUGGCAGAUUAAGGCGAUGAAGGACGCGUCAAGCUGCGAUAAGCUUCGGUGAGCUGCAAAUAAGCUUUGACCCGAAGAUCUCCGAAUGGGAAAACCCAAUCAGGGUCAUACCUGAUUAUUCUGUACUGAAUACAUAGGUGCAGAAAGCGAUACCAGGGGAAUUGAAACAUCUAAGUACCCUGAGGAAAAUAAAACGAAAGUGAUUCUCUCAGUAGCGGCGAGCGAAGAGAGAUCAGGCUAAACCGACGAGCUUGCUCGUCGGGGUUGCGGGACCUUAACAUGGGAUUACAAAGGGAUAGCAAAAGUCAACUGAAAAGUUGCACCAUAGUGGGUGAUAGUCCUGUAUGCGAAAUUCCAAUGUACCCUAGAGGGAUCCCAAGUACUGCCGGGCACGGGAAAUCUGGCAGGAAUCUGGGCCGACCAUGGUCUAAGCCUAAAUACUAGAAUCUGACCGAAAGUGAACUAGUACCGUGAGGGAAAGUUGAAAAGAACCCCGGAAGGGGAGUGAAAUAGAACUUGAAACUAUAAACCUACAAGCGGUUGGAGGCCUAUGCAUACCUUCGGGUAUGAAUGGCUGACAGCGUACCUUUUGCAUAAUGGACCAACGAGUUAUUGACUGUUGCAAGCUUAAGUCCUUCUGGGACGUAGGCGCAGGGAAACCGAGUCUGAAUAGGGCGACCAUAGUAGCAGUUAAUAGACCCGAAGCCAAGUGAUCUAUCCAUGGCCAGGUUGAAGCUCUACGAAAGUAGAGUGGAGGACCGAACGCAUUAUCGUUGAAAAGAUUCGCGAUGAGCUGUGGAUCGGAGUGAAAGGCUAAUCAAACUUGGAAAUUGCUGGUUCUCCCCGAAAUAGUUCUAGGACUAGCCUCGGACAAUAGUUAGCAGGGGUAGAGUUACUGAAUAGGCUAGGGUCCCCACCGGGAUGCCAAACCUAACCAAACUCCGAAUACUGCUAACCGUACUCCGGGAGUCAGAACGUGAGGGCUAAGCUUCACGCUCGAGAGGGAAACAGCCCAGACCGUCGGUUAAGGUCCCUAAUAUACGCUAAGUGGUAAAGGAAGUGGAGUCACAUAGACAGCCAGGAUGUUGGCUUAGAGGCAGCCAUCAUUUAAAGAGUGCGUAACAGCUCACUGGUCGAGUGAUUCCGCGCCGAAAAUGAUCGGGGCUCAAGCGUAUAACCGAAACCACGGCUUUAGUACAUCUUCGGAUGUAUUAAGGGGUAGGGGAGCGUACUGUCCAACGAUGAAGGCGUACCGUAAGGAGCGCUGGAGAAGACAGUAGUGAUAAUGUUGGUAUGAGUAGCGAAAACUAAGGCGAGAAACCUUAGCGCUGACAAUCUCAGGUUUCCUGGGGAAGGUUAAUCCACCCAGGUUUAGUCGAUCCUAAGGCGAGGCCGAAAGGCGUAGUCGAUGGAGAUCCGGUUAAUAUUCCGGAACCGGCUAUGAAGCGUUACAACCUUGAUGUGACCCAGAAGGCUAAGUGAAGCGCAGUGUUGGAUGUCUGCGUUUUCAUUCGUAGCCUUCACGCAAGUGAAGGUAAGGAAUGAAGGGAGCUGCGACUACGGUCAAAGCGAAGUCAACGAUGCCAGGCUGGCGAGAAAAACCAUCGUAGGGAGUUUCAUAGUCGAUCGUACCGUAAUCCGACACAGGUAGAUGCCCAGAAUAUGGGAAGGCGCUCGAGAGAAAUCUCUUUAAGGAACUAGGCAAAAUGACCCCGUAACUUCGGGAGAAGGGGUGCCCAUGGGGUGAAGUCCAUCACGGACGGAGCUCUUAUGGGUCACAGUAAAGAGACCCGGUUGACUGUUUAGUAAAAACACAUCACUCUGCGAAGUCGCAAGACGAUGUAUAGGGUGUGACACCUGCCCGGUGCUGGAAGGUCAAGAGGAGAGGUCAAUCGUAAGAUGAAGCUUCGAAUUUAAGCCCCAGUAAACGGCGGCCGUAACUAUAACGGUCCUAAGGUAGCGAAAUUCCUUGUGGGGUAAGUUCCCACGCGCACGAAUGGUGUAACAAAUUGGGUGCUGUCUCAAAGAGAUACUCGGCGAAAUUGUAGCGGCGGUGAAGAUGCCGUCUUCCCGCACCAAGACGAAAAGACCCCGGAACCUUUACUGUAGCUUGGUAUUGGAUUUGGAUUCUGUUUGUGUAGUAUAGGUGGGAGCCUUUGAAGUUCCGGCGCUAGCCGGGAUGGAGGCAUCAGUGAAAUACCACCCUAAUAGUUUCUAGAUUCUAAUCAUCGCCUCUGAAGCGAGGCAUGUGACAGUGCCAGGCGGGCAGUUUGACUGGGGCGGUUCCCUUCUAAAAUGUAACGAAGGGGUCCAAAGGUCUCCUCAGGCCGGUCGGCAAUCGGCUGUAGAGUGCAAGUGCAUAAGGAGGCUUAACUGCGAGUCCGACAGGACGAGCAGAUACGAAAGUAGGGACUAGUGAUCCGGUGGUUGAACGUGGGAUUGCCAUCGCUCAACGAACAAUAGGUACUCCGGGGAUAACAGGCUGAUCGCGCUCGAGAGUUCAUAUCGACAGCGCGGAUUGGCACCUCGAUGUCGGCUCAUCCUAUCCUGGGGCUGUACAAGGUCCCAAGGGUCCGGCUGUUCGCCGGUUAAAAGGGUACGUGAGCUGGGUUUAGAACGUCGUGAGACAGUUCGGUCUCUAUCUGGUGUGGGCGCACGAUGAUUGAAGAGGAGCUCUCCUUAGUACGAGAGGACCGGGAGAGACGAACCUCUAGUGUUCCAGUUAUCCUGCCAAGGGUAAUGGCUGGGUAGCUAUGUUCGGGAGGGAUAAACGCUGAAUGCAUAUAAGUGUGAAGCCCACCUCAAGAUAAUUCAUCGAUUCCCUUCGGGGAUGAAGGCUCCUGGUAGACUACCAGGUUGAUAGGCAGCAGGUGUAAGAUCCGUAAGGAUUUAAGCUAAGCUGUACUAAAUGCCGAACGCUUGAUCA